rnacentral:rRNA from 1 species
AUUGAACGCUGGCGGCAGGCUUAACACAUGCAAGUCGAGCGAGCGGCGGACGGGUGAGCAAUGUCUGGGAAACUGCCUGACGGAGGGGGAUAACUACUGGAAACGGUAGCUAAUACCGCAUACCAUCAGAUGUGCCCAGAUGGGAUUAGCGAGUGGGUGGGGUAAUGGCUCACCUAGGCGACGAUCCCUAGCUGGUCUGAGAGGAUGACCAGCCACACUGGAACUGAGACACGGUCCAGACUCCUACGGGAGGCAGCAGUGGGGAAUAUUGCACAAUGGGCGAAAGCCUGAUGCAGCCAUGCCGCGUGUGUGAAGAAGGCCUUAGGAUUGUAAAGCACUUUCAGUGGGGAGGCGUUACCCACAGAAGAAGCACCGGCUAACUCCGUGCCAGCCGCCGCGGUAAUUC